rnacentral:rRNA from 1 species
GAUCAUGGCUCAGGACGAACGCUGGCGGCGCGCCUAACACAUGCAAGUCGAACGGUGAAGAGGAGCUUGCUCCUCGGAUCAGUGGCGGACGGGUGAGUAACACGUGAGCAACCUGGCUCUAAGAGGGGGACAACAGUUGGAAACGACUGCUAAUACCGCAUGAUGUAUCGGGAUGGCAUCUUCCUGAUACCAAAGAUUUUAUCGCUUAGAGAUGGGCUCGCGU